GAUCCUGGCUCAGAAUCAACGCUGGCGGCGUGCCUAACACAUGCAAGUCGAACGCGAAAGGGGCUUCGGCCCUGAGUAGAGUGGCGAACGGGUGAGUAACGCGUGGGUGACCUACCUUCGAGUGGGGGAUAACGUUCCGAAAGGAGCGCUAAUACCGCAUGAAGUUCCGGGUUUGAACAUCUGGAAACCAAAGCCGGGGAUCGCAAGACCUGGCGCUUGGAGAGGGGCCCGCGUCUGAUUAGCUAGUUGGCGGGGUAAUGGCCCACCAAGGCGACGAUCAGUAGCCGGCCUGAGAGGGCGGACGGCCACACUGGGACUGAGACACGGCCCAGACUCCUACGGGAGGCAGCAGUGGGGAAUUGUUCGCAAUGGGCGCAAGCCUGACGACGCAACGCCGCGUGGGGGAUGAAGGUCUUCGGAUUGUAAACCCCUGUCGAGCGGGACGAAUGGCCCGCGACCUAACACGUCGUGGGAAUGACGGCACCGCUAAAGGAAGCCACGGCUAACUCUGUGCCAGCAGCCGCGGUAAUACAGAGGUGGCAAGCGUUGUUCGGAAUUACUGGGCGUAAAGGGCGCGUAGGCGGCCUUCUAAGUCAGACGUGAAAUCCCCCGGCUUAACCUGGGAACUGCGUCUGAUACUGGGAGGCUUGAAUGCGGGAGAGGGAUGUAGAAUUCCAGGUGUAGCGGUGA
rnacentral:rRNA from 1 species